UACGUGGGGGGCAAGCGUUGUUCGGAAUUACUGGGCGUAAAGGGCUCGUAGGCGGCCAACUAAGUCAGACGUGAAAUCCCUCGGCUUAACCGGGGAACUGCGUCUGAUACUGGAUGGCUUGAGUUCGGGAGAGGGAUGUGGAAUUCCAGGUGUAGCGGUGAAAUGCGUAGAUAUCUGGAGGAACACCGGUGGCGAAGGCGGCAUCCUGGACCGACACUGACGCUGAUGAGCGAAAGCCAGGGGAGCAAACGGG
rnacentral:rRNA from 1 species